rnacentral:rRNA from 1 species
UACGUAGGGGGCAAGCGUUAUCCGGAUUUACUGGGUGUAAAGGGGGCGCAGACGGCGAUGCAAGCCAGGAGUGAAAGCCCGGGGCCCAACCCCGGGACUGCUCUUGGAACUGCGUGGCUGGAGUGCAGGAGGGGCAGGCGGAAUUCCUGGUGUAGCGGUGAAAUGCGUAGAUAUCAGGAGGGACACCGGUGGCGAAGGCGGCCUGCUGGACUGCAACUGACGUUGAGGCCCGAAAGCGUGGGGAGCAAACAGG